rnacentral:rRNA from 1 species
UACGAAGGGGGGCUAGCGUUGUUCGGAAUUACUGGGCGUAAAGCGCGCGCAGGCGGCCAUUCAAGUCAGGGGUGAAAGCCCAGAGCUCAACUCUGGAACUGCCCUUGAAACUGCAUGGCUUGAGUACGAGAGAGGUGAGUGGAAUUCCCAGUGUAGAGGUGAAAUUCGUAGAUAUUCGCAAGAACACCAGUGGCGAAGGCGGCUCACUGGCCCGGUACUGACGCUGAGGUGCGAAAGCGUGGGGAGCAAACAGG